CCUACGGGUGGCAGCAGUGGGGAAUAUUGCACAAUGGGCGCAAGCCUGAUGCAGCCAUGCCGCGUGUGUGAAGAAGGCCUUCGGGUUGUAAAGCACUUUCAGCGGGGAGGAAGGCGGUGAGGUUAAUAACCUCAUCGAUUGACGUUACCCGCAGAAGAAGCACCGGCUAACUCCGUGCCAGCAGCCGCGGUAAUACGGAGGGUGCAAGCGUUAAUCGGAAUUACUGGGCGUAAAGCGCACGCAGGCGGUCUGUCAAGUCGGAUGUGAAAUCCCCGGGCUCAACCUGGGAACUGCAUUCGAAGCUGGCAGGCUAGAGUCUUGUAGAGGGGGGUAGAAUUCCAGGUGUAGCGGUGAAAUGCGUAGAGAUCUGGAGGAAUACCGGUGGCGAAGGCGGCCCCCUGGACAAAGACUGACGCUCAGGUGCGAAAGCGUGGGGAGCAAACAGGAUUAGAUACCCGAGUAGUC
rnacentral:rRNA from 1 species